UAGGGAAUCUUCCACAAUGGACGCAAGUCUGAUGGAGCAACGCCGCGUGAGUGAAGAAGGCUUUCGGGUCGUAAAACUCUGUUAUUGAAGAAGAACGCGUGUGACAGUAACUGGUCAUGCAGUGACGGUAUUCAAUCAGAAAGUCACGGCUAACUACGUGCCAGCAGCCGCGGUAAUACGUAGGUGGCAAGCGUUGUCCGGAUUUAUUGGGCGUAAAGCGAGUGCAGGCGGUCUUUUAAGUCUGAUGUGAAAGCCUUCGGCUUAACCGAAGAAGGGCAUCGGAAACUGGGAGACUUGAGUGCAGAAGAGGAGAGUGGAACUCCAUGUGUAGCGGUGAAAUGCGUAGAUAUAUGGAAGAAACACCAGUGGCGAAGGCGGCUCUCUGGUCUGUAACUGACGCUGAGGCUCGAAAAGCGUGGGUAGCAAAACAGGAUUAGA
rnacentral:rRNA from 1 species